GACGAACGCUGGCGGCGUGCUUAACACAUGCAAGUCGAACGGUGAAGGGGUCUGCUUUUGUGGGCCCUGGAUGAGUGGCGAACGGGUGAGUAACACGUGAGUAACCUGCCCCCUUCUUCUGGAUAACCGCAUGAAAGUGUGGCUAAUACGGGAUAUUCUGGGUCUGUCGCAUGAUGGGUCUGGGAAAGAUUGCGCCUUUGGGUGUUUUUGGUGGGGGAUGGGCUCGCGGCCUAUCAGCUUGUUGGUGGGGUGAUGGCCUACCAAGGCGGUGACGGGUAGCCGGCCUGAGAGGGUGGACGGUCACACUGGGACUGAGACACGGCCCAGACUCCUACGGGAGGCAGCAGUGGGGAAUAUUGCACAAUGGGCGCAAGCCUGAUGCAGCGACGCCGCGUGAGGGAGGGAGGCCUUCGGGUUGUAAACCUCUUCCGCCAGUGAAGCAGGCCUGCUCCUUGUGGGUGGGUUGACGGUAGCUGGAGAAGAAGCGCCGGCUAACUACGUG
rnacentral:rRNA from 1 species